ensembl:lncRNA
CAGCCCACUGGCUUCUCAGCGGUCACCUCUCUACCUCUGCCUCUCUCUGCCUGUGUCUCUCUCUCAGUGAGCGAACAUUCAGUCUCUCUCUUACUCUCUGAGUCGUCAGGUUGAAUUUCUCUCUUCUUUUUCCCUUGUUAUGACCCAUUUGAGGAGCACCUUCCAUAGAGACAGACACACCAAGAUGAACGGUGAGCUGAGAGCUGUUCGCACCACUACAGGCAAGAGAGGAAGCAGCGAUCAUGACAGAUCUGACUAUGAUAUGGAGCACAAGGGAUACCCUGGUGAACACUGUAACCGGGUUUUUGAUUAUCAGCGCGUCCCCUCUUCAGUCCCAGUGGAUCCCAUUCCUGUCAAAAGGCCACGCCCUUCAUCUUCCUCCUCUUCCUCAUCAUCUUCCUCCACAGUGGCUCUGAGGAUGAAGAACAGUAGAGCGACCAACAGGAACAACAAGACACACACCUCUGCGUCUGGCAGCAGCAAUGUUAAAUUGAAGAUGGCAGAGCUUCUUGCCAUAAAGAGUGAGCUGACAGUGAUCAAGGUUCAGAUUGAUGGCCUGUUGGACUGCGUAGACAAGAUGGACAGACAGCGGAAGGACUGUUCAGAGUGUCCUCAGAGCAGGGAGUCCAGUGUGUUGAACUCUCCUCACCAAGGUUCAGUCUGCAGUGUGGAGAGAGAGAGUCCUGAACCAGGAGAGGCCAGUGCAGAUGAGUCACUGCACUACCAGGACUACUACCCCCACAGCUACUCCCACAGGAUAAAGCAUUAUCAUUCUCAGGAGGAUGACCUGUGAUGCUGCAGUCCAGAUCCUUGUAGAACAGAGGCUCACAUUGGUAACAGCUGGUAUUGAAGAUGCUUCCAGAAGAUGUUGGCAACUUGACCUGCAUGAACUCUCCUCUACACCUGAAUUCAUCCAGUACCGUCAGUUUGAUUUGUAUUAUGUUGUACCAUCUUCUGUUCUGGUUUCCAGUUUACGCUGAUGGUAAAAUCUCAGUUGUGUUCCUCACACAUCACUGACACCAGCACUCUAUAUUAAAAAUAUCUUUUAACUUUAAAACCAUACUGGUUAGAUGAUCACCACUGAUUUCAACUACAGUAAUAUCAAUAGGUUCAAAAAAUUAGCUUACAGCAACUUCCUCUUAAGACCCAAGCUUUGGUUGGCCUUGCAUUUUAGAUUUCUUCAAAUUAUUUGGGAAAAGGAGUAACCAAUAAAUAUAAUAAUUGGAUAAUAUCAAAUAUCUCAUUAUUAUGUUUAUUAUAUUUAUAUUGUUAUUGUUGUUAUUAUUAUUAAUAUUCUUAUUUUGUUAUUAUUAUUAUUAUUAUUAUUAUUAUUAUUAUUAUUAUUAUUAUUAGUAGUAGUAGUAGUAGUAGUAGUAGUAUUAACAAUACGCUCUUUAAAAAAAAAAGAUGUUUAGGAGGUUAAAAUUUCUUCAUUCAAAUAAUUCUUUGUAAUGAGCAAUUUAUUAGAUUUUAUUUGGGAUUUUUUUAGUAAUGCAAUCAAGGGUCUGUCGACAUCUUUGCCUCAAUCAAACAACAUUUUAUUCAUUGGUCGCAAAGUUAACAUUGGACUGUAGAUGUAUUUUCUUCGCUUUUGGCCUGAUCCGUCCCCUAACCACGCUGUCCUGCUGGACUCCCCACUGAUCACCAUUAAUGAAGUCAGUUUGGCAGCAGCUGGCAGCUCCUUAUCACACAAUUUAUUUUCAUCAGGCCUGCUUUCAUUAUGUGUAACCAGCUGUGUGCAGGACUGCAUUAUAGUUCUGAGUUUAAGCCUGAAUGAGCAUAGUUUUAUGACUCCCUGGGUCUACACUGUUCAAUUCACUCAGAAAAACAGCUAUAAAGUGAUAUAUGGACUCUGACAAUUUCCUGAAAUGAACACUAGCUCAGAAGGAAAAUUGCAUGUAGUGGAUAUAAAUUGGAAGAUUACAAUUUUCCACCGUGAAUAUGAAUCUUUUUACGAUAACAUCCAUGACCGUGACAUUUUCAGCGGUUAGUUAAAUUCAAUUUUGCUGAAACUUUAUUUGAUCACUUGUUAGUUUAGGUUAGCAAACAAAUUUAUCAAGAAAAAUGUUAGAAUACAUUUAGCAGCUUAAUCACUGGCUUUAAAAUUAGCUUAAAGCACAGUUUUUGAUAAUUGGAUCUGCUCUUGGUUUGUUUCACAUUAACUCUUCAACGAUUAGUUUAGAUUUUUUGAAGUCGAGUUGUAAGAGCUACUUAUUGAUAGUUAGUUUAUUACCUAUAUUAGAUUGCAGUUGGCACAUCCACAGUUUGGACAUGCAGGAGUUUACGGCAUGGAAACUAAGCAAUGCAAUGUUGUGGAGAGGGACAGCAGCCAAAUAUAUUUUAGCCACCCAAAGAGACCCAACUGAAGAAUCACUAUCAGUUUAAGUGUAUGCUCACUUGCCCAUGUUCACUGUUAUGCUGAAAAUGACUUUCUGAUGACAAGAUAAAGCAGUUAAAAUAUUCCAAAUAUAGUGUGCACUUAAAAUAAUAUAGAUGUUUUGGGCUAUGCCUUUUUUUUUUUUAGGUUGCUAAAAUAUGUUUUGUUGCUGACUCUGUCCACAGCAAUCUUUGUGUCAGUACUCCUGUCUGCUUCUCCAAAUUGUGGGUGUGCCAGCUUCCAUCUAUACACUGACUAUGAAUAAGUACCUCACAAAACCCUACUUAGGUGAAGCUCUCAGUUUUGCAAGUUGGCCUUUGUUCCAACACUCACUUAUGGUCAUGAGUUCUAGGUGGUGACUGAAAGAACAAGAUUGUAACUACAAGUAGCCAAAAUGGGUUUUGUCUGUACGGUGGGUGGGUUGAGUCCUGAAAUCGAGAGAGGAGCUUGGACAUCCAUGAGUAGAUGGGGAUGGGAGUACAGUCGCUGAUCCUUCAUGUUGACAGGAGCCAGGUGGGGUGGUUUACCAUCUGAUUAGGAUGCCUAGUGGGCGGAAGUUUUCCGGGAAUGUCCAACUAGGGGGAGACCUCGAACCCAGAACCCAGAACCCAGAACCCAGAACUUCCUGGACUACACAUCUCAUCUGGCCUUGGAAUACCUCAGUAUCCUUCAGGAGGAACUGGAAAUUGUUGCUAGGGAGAGGGAAACUGCUGCCAUAAUGACCCAACGCUGAAUAAUUGGAAGAAAAUGGAUGGAUCCGCCAGUAGUUCUCAAAGAGUUAACAUUGUGCUACAGAUCAGUUUAGUGGAUUCUGUUUUCCUUAGAUUAGCUGAAGAACCAGUUUAACAGAGCAAAACCUGUGGUCCAGGUCAGCUAUUGCUUUGUUUAGGAGAUAAAAACAAUUAUAUUCAGGUUAUCCAGAGCAAAGUAUAAUAGCUUGGUUCAGUUUAGCUGGUGGAUUAAUUUGCAAGAUCAAAGAGUUAUUUUCAGAAAAGCCAGUACAGUUUAGGUGAAAUUAGCAAGUGGAUUAUUAUAGGCCAGUUUGUUUCAGGUUUCAGUGAGGACUACAGGUGUAAAUAAGCUGCUGACCCUUUUACACCAGCCUCUAUGAAAUGUCAGUACUGAUUAAUCUACACUGUCCACUUUGAUAGAUAAAUACAUUUCAAAAGAAAACUUGUCAGCAGGUGGAGACUGCAAUGAGACCAUCAGAUGAGAGUUGACAAUAAAAGUACCAGCUGGUUCAUGUUUCCUGAAAGAUGAUAAAGCCUUGCCCUGGCUUUGCAUUUCAAAUGCUUGUUGCAUGUGUCAGAUAUAGUAAUUUUCCGUCACUUUUACAUGUUAUUAAAAUCGCAGUGAAUUUAUGAUCACCGUCAGUGCAAAUGUGCAUGAGUAAAUACUAAAGGACUUUUUGUGGCCCAGAGUUGUACUGCCAUCGCACUGUUAAAUGACAGUUACACUGUGCUGCACCGCACACUUCUACGAAGACAACUCACAUAAAGUGUGUAGCAUUCAAUAUGCUAUCGUUACUUCUGCAAAAAUGGUUCAGUGUCAUAUUCAUUGGUUGGAGCCAUAUUGCAUUUUGUGAGAUAUUGUUCAUUCCACCAGAAUUUGGGUGAUGGUUUAAUGGAGAGUAUAACCACUAAAGUGUUGCCAAGUCAAACAUAUAAAGACUUGUCAAUAUAAACAGCAAUGACUGUAAAUAUGUUCAGAAUGUUCAUGUAAAAUAUUUGUUGUUUUAAAAAAAAGUGAUACUUGAAAUUAUUUAUGUGCAUAGUAGCGACUCUUUAUUUAAAAAAAAAUGUAUUUUAAAUAUUUUUUAAAAAGGUGAAAAUGUUUUAAUAAGAAAUCCUGUAACUGCAGACAGAAUUGUUUUGGAAACUUCAUUGUAGCUUCUGUUGACACUUUUGUGUUUGGUCAGUGCUAAAUGUUACCUAUUUCAUUGUGAAAGUAGUAAACAUGUUUUUCAUAGAACUUG